rnacentral:ncRNA from 18 species
UUGCCUAAGGGAAAUGGUGUCCUUCCAAUUUAACCGCUUUUAGAAGCUGAUGGCGCCUGCAAUGAU